UGUAACUUGAAGCCACUGGUUCAAGUCCUGCCCUAUGGAGCCGAAAACAAGCCUUGCUCCAUCUUCCCAAGUUCAAAAUCUAAAUGCAAUAUUGCAAUAAAGAAUACAUAUAAUAUCACUGCAACACAAGGCUAAACAAUUAACAGUUCAUGUAACAUACACCAACAUUUAAAGAAGCCCACAGACAUUGGGGUGCCAGCUACUAUUUCGAAUUAAGAUGGCAAGCAAAAACGCCGCUUUGGGAUGUGAACAGAUUGUGCUUCACUCAGUGUUUUGCCCCUGCACCAGAAAACAUCAGAGGGACUUCUUGGUGCUUUGGAAAAAAAUGCUUGUCACCCAUCCCAAAGUGUUUCAUGAAACAUUUUUGCAUUAGUUCAACCAAGUAUUAGUUUUGCAGUAGUUUUUUUGACUAUCCGACAUCUGUAAACUGCAGUGCAGAAAAUAUUCUCCAAACAGAUCAUCCUUUAACACAUCAGCUUUUUAAAAAAAAUUGAAAUCAUUACAGAGCAUUUGCUCACAUUUAGUCUGAGUGAUAUUAGAAAUAAAUACAAUGUUUUGGGAUUGGAUAUUAUAAUGGUCUAAAAGUAAGGAUACUUCACAGAAAACUUUAACUACAAUGCAAUGAAACUUACUAUGGUUGGGUUUUGUUUUUUUACUGUACAUCAAAGCUAAUAUACCGUAAAUGAAGAGUUAUAAAAACCCAGCACUGAAGUUUUAAAUAAGAAUUGCCAACCUUGCAGGCACUAAGUUGAAUUAAAUCAGCCUGCUGGCUUUGAAGGUGCAUUCAAUUAGAUGGUGGAGGGUGGGGCCAACAUUUGCCUUGGCUUCUGCAUCCGUUCUGUGUUCCAGCUGGACUGCAGAAGAAGGGUGUGGGCUGAAGAGGGGGAGAACUGAAAGACACAUUGGAAGCGGAGGGAACUCAUGAGCAAUCUCCAAAAGAGGACUCUUACAAGUGUGGAGCUUGAUAAACGGGAAAUUGGUGAGUUCUAGGAGUCAGGCUGCAAACGCUUCCUCAGGUACCCCAACAGAAGAACUUCCGCUGGGCUUUUUUCAACCUAGUGCCUAAACACUGUCAUGUGCAUUUGAUGUUUUGUCCACUUCCACUAUAUUUUCUCAAAAUGUGGAGGACCCCAAGACACGGCAGAAGGAGAUGGAUGGGAGAGCUCUCUGGCAGGAGUUGGCUUCUCAAUCAGCUCCUUUGGGAGCAGAAUAGUGUGAUAUAUGUAUUUGUAUCAUCCCACUUUUUACAACACAUUUGCUUGAGGGCAAACACAAUAAAUCAAGUACACCCAAGGAUGGCUCUCCAGGCAGCUCCUCCUCCAUCCUCAUCCCAGCUCUUUCAGCUGCUCUGCACAGUACUUGGUUUCCAGACCCCACAACAUCCUGGGGGUUGGUGGGGUGAGGCAGAAUGGAUAGAGGGAGUGGGGGUGAGGACUCUUCCCUGCUGGCCAGGAUGAAUCCCUGACACCAGAUCCUCUCAUUCCCCCUCACCCUUCCAUGAGAUGAAGGUGUUUUCAAGGUGAGGCAAUAUUGGUCACUUCCAUUCUUGGCAGAAUUAGACUUUCAGUGGACAUCAGGACAGCUGGCGUCCCCCAUUCCUCCUAGGGCUUGUCUCUGUGGAAGUUUUGCAAUCUGUUCAGGAAAGUACCAUCACCGGCAAGUGUGGACUACCAAGCACACAGCAAGCAAUUGUCCCUCCCAAGAAGGCUGUUCCUAGGAAUAGUGCCCUUGCCUCAUAGUCCAUGGCUGGUGUGGGAAGUGUCAGGCCUGGCGCCCAAUUACAGACCUCCAGGCUCCUAUGGGACGAGUGCGGAGGUGCACCUCCGUCUCAGCCAGCCUCUCUCCCUGGGCUGCACCCGUCUCACCUGCUCUACUGGUGCAAACACCCCUUCCCCACCUGGGACGUGCCCUUGAACGCGGACAAGGUCUCUCCCUUCCCCAGACGGAGCACAGAGAGGGGUGUGUGUGCAGAAACAAGCCUAGUACACAAAGGUAAAAUUCACAUUUGUGGCUCAGCCUCUUGUAGUCCCUGGCCAUGCACAGCACUCAGAAUUAUGUCCACAAGGGAAUGUGGCCUUCAAUUGGGGGAAAAGGCUGCCCCCUGCCGGGCUGUAUGCCAGCAUGAAUGAGGGAAUCUCUUGUUUGGCUUUGUUUUCUCUCAAUGAUAUCACCACAUAGCCAAAUCUGAUUAGCUUUAUGACAAGACUACAGUACCUUAAGAAGCAGCACACCCAUUUGAGAAAAGAAAUGUGGCGGAAGGCUGAAGAAGCAUCAGCCCAGGACUCUAAAGAGGCUCUGCUAUGGCGCUGCCUGAGCAGCGGAGAUGGAAAAGGCGACAUAAGCCUAGGUUGAAGGUGCAUUGGAGAAGCCUGGACGAUCUGCGGCACUACCAAUACUUUCACCCUUUUUCAAAUACAUUUCCUAGGAGUCAGAUAUGUUCAUGAAAAACAGGUUCUUCCCUUCACAUUUGGCCCAGUCCUAGCCGUUAUGACUGAAUCACAUUUGUGCAUAAAACCCCAAAUCCUCAUGAUGCACGCAUAUUUUGAAUGCACCCCUCUGUAAAUGAUCAGAGCACCUUAUGGAGCUGAGAUUAUUGUGUGUUCCUGACUUGUGUAGACACUUUGCGUGAGGCAGCGAGUCAUUCUGGUGGUCCAAGGAGGAAAAGAGCCUUCAGACAGUCCUACAUUUAAAAAGAAGAAUUAAAAAGAGGUUGAUCACAGCAGUUUCUCCUGCACAUCUGAAAAAGGGCUUAUACUUCUGAGCUGCUUUUGACCACUGCCACAGUAAUCCAAUUCAUAAUACUUUUUGCAGCAAUGUCUGUCACACUGGAACUGACUGCUGUCCAAGAGCUCUUAAAGGAGAACGCAGGACGAUAGAUGGGGCCUGAAACUGGCUUGUGGGCAGGUCAACCAGGAGUAGCUCAAGGUAUUGUUACACGCUGCCCCAAUGCUGAGAUGAAGCAAGAUUCCAGGGGCUUGUGCUCCUUUGGCGUGAGGCCCAGUGGAGAUGGCAGUGCCUCUAAGAAAUAGGAUUUAGUUACACAUAUUUCCACCUGGCUUUGAUGGGGAGGCUGCCUCUUGCUGCUCAUAGCUUCAGCAAGCUUGGGUCGAGAACAGAAUCCAGCCAUGCUUCCCGGUCUCUGAGUGCAGCCUCUCCCAGCCAGCCCUGCAUGUAAAAGGGACAUCUUCCUCUGCCCCCCCCAUCAUGACACCCCUGUAACCCUGGCAACCUCCCCUUCCCAACUCUCCUAGGGUCUUUUGCUAACUCACACCUGGGGGAGAAACUCCGCCCCCUUCUUACCUUUGGUCAGGGCAACUCUGCCCUCACCUGUCUUGCUCUGUGAUAGCACCUCUCUAAGCCAGGCUCCUGAGGAACUUCACAUUUAGCAACUUCAGAAAUUACGGGGAGAACCUGGAACCCAGGAAUUUCAGGGGACCCUCGCCCCCUGCAAACCUUGCCCUUGCCCCCUGCAAAUCUUAUUCAAUCCUUGAAGCUCCACUUCCUAUGUCCUUACCGUUUUCACAGCUAUUUCUAUUAAACCAACAGUCUCAAACUGUGUUAUUCAGAAACGCACAAAAAUACAUUGCAAAGUCCCAUUAUUCCAUAGUACUACCAUGUUUGAUUCCCUGUCUCAGACACACGCACAGCGGUGUACAUCCCAACAGUCAGUCCCCUUUGUGUGCCAUGCCAAGCACUUUUGCCACGUAUACACUAAGCACAUGGACUGGAUGUGGCUGUGAGACCCGUUGCUCUGAUACUGAAGGAGCAGAACCAGAUCUCCCUCUGAAUUUCUCUGGCCGUGAGCUGUGAGCCUGUCUUGGUCCUGUGUUACUCCAGGAUGCCCUGACCUUGUCGGAAGACAUGGGGGAGGGGGCAGGCUGGGAAGAGUCCUGCCACUUCACCUGGUCACCUUCUAUGCAUAAUCUGCUGGAGUUAGUGUGUUUCAGGAGGGCUGUCUAGUGGUAGUAAUAAAGGUACCAUUUUAAAAAUAAAAUGUUCUGAAAACGGAAGGAAUGGCACUGGUGAGUGCCACUGCUUGUCAUCUGUGAUGCCACAAGCACUAUCUAGAAAGAACUUGAGGCACUCCUAAUGGACAAAUAUUGCAGUUGGACUGCUUGGGGUGUGCAGUUUGUAUGCAACGUGUUACCUCAAGGAAAAUUACCAGGAUCCCACAGCAUAACAAUGUAACACACUAGCUCACAGCAACAGCCCAAUGCAUUUUGCUUGAAGCAAGGAAUCCAUAUUGUUUUACCCAUGGUGUUAAACAUGCAAUAAUAAUUUCAAUAACUGACCAUUUGCUGCCCUUCAAUGAGGCGGGUCACCUUAGCCUGCUUAAUGGACAGGCUCAGUUAACUGACUGCUCAGUUGUUGUGCACAGCAUCCAAAUCCAGCACCAGACUUUUGCUAUCAGAAUAGACUGUCCAAGACUAGCUGAGUGGAGCCUAAGGCUCAUGAACAACACAGGCAACAAGCAAGGGCUCAUGGAAAACAGAUCAUGGGACAGGUAGUCUAUUCCAGCAGUUCCCAAACUGAGAACCAAGGAAAAGGUUGACAAGACAAAGAAAAGUCCUGCCUAUUCUCUGCCAGUUCAGCUUAGUUUAUUUUUUGCACAGAAAAUGAUUUCUUUAAAAAAUGAUACAGAGGAGGAGCCUCGGGGUGAUGUUUUACACAUGCAUAUUUGGAUCUGGUCCCGUUUUUCCCUUUACAUAUUCCUCUAGUUGUUUUCAUUUGUUCCACAUGUUCAUAUGUUUGUGAAAUUAAUUGUGUGCAUUUGCAGCCCUGGAACAAAUCUCUGCCUCAGCGCAGCACCAAAAGAACAUUGUAGAAGUUAUCAGAUAGUUUGCAAAUAUGCUUCUCUUUUGACGUUAGAAAGACUAAGCACAGCUAUUGUCACUGAGACUAAUGCAAUCUAUAAUAAACAGAGCAAGUGUGCUCACAGGAGAAUUGUACAAAGCAU